GUAUGCUUAACAAAACACUGUUGAAAUCUUAAGAACUGUUUGCUAAUCUUGUUCCCAGAAUGGGCUGUCCCCAACUGCGAACUGUUUGCUAAUCUUGAUCCCAAAAUGUGCUGUCCCCAACUGCCAAACUGCAGAAUGUAACUUCCCUCCCUGCCCUCUCCAAGGAAAGUAUAUAAGCUCUGCUUAAGCUGUUCUCAGGGCUCUUUGCUCUAUUCGAGUGAGCUCUGAGCCCCAGCAUGCUGGACCCCCAAUAAACCCUUUGCUGUUGCAUGAGACAGUCUCUUGGUGGUCUCUUCCUCCGACGCUCGCCCGACCUUUACAUCUGGAGGCCCCAGCAAGAUCUGGCAGCGGCAGACGAAAGACCCCCAAUGGACCCCUCUCGGGGAUUCUAUAAUAUUCCAGGAGAAGCUUUGGAUAGUCACCAUGAAAUAGUAUGUUCCCAUCUCUUUAAAAUAUAUAAAUAAAAAUAACAGUGAUAACCUUUAUGGAAGUUUUAAAUGUACAUACUGUGGUAAGCACUUUUCAUAUAUGAAAUCAUCUAAUUCUCACGCAUAAAUCUAUAAAGCAAUCACUAUAAUACCCAUUUUAUAGAUGCAGAAGCUGAAGAUCAGGAAGCUAGGUAAGGCCAAAUCAGGUAUUUGUAUCCAGGUGUCUUUGACUUCCAAGUUUACACUGUGGGAUGCUAUCCCCAUAACCCUAUUUUGAGGUGUGCAGUGCAAAUUAGAGAACUGAAUGCUCCCAGAAUGACUUAGUAAAGAAAUCUAUUUAAUGUUGUUUAAUCUUUUAUUAAGCUCUUUCUGGUAGUAUUACCAUGAUCAGCAGAUCUAUCCCAUCCAUAUACAUCUGCCCAGAAGAGUGACUGUCAAGGAGUAGCACCGGUGACGAUGUUGAUGGUGGUGAUGAUGAUGAUAACAUUUAUCAAGAAACUAUUAUUUGCAGGUGCUUCCCAUGAAUUAUUUCAUCUGAUCUUUACUUUUAUCCUAAAAGUGAGUGCUAUUCUUAUCUCUGUUGAGUCGAUGAUCACAUUGGGCAUUGGGAGCUAUCUUUCUCAAGGUCACACCACUAAGUAAUGGUACAACAGGGAUUGUUGUAGACUUGCCUCACCGCUUGUCCCCCCAUUGGUGUCUGCUUUUUUUCUAAGCUUUCACAGGCUUCUUUCCCUGGGGAAAAUGCUACCCCUUCUGGUAGCAUCAGGUAGCUAAAAAGAACUGAUGAUUUUCUUUGGAAGUCUUAAAUGCUAGGAAGAACAGCUUCCCUUGUCAGUCCUUCAGUCUUCUUAGAAUGUAUGACUUUGGGAGCUAAUGGAGGCUCUGCUGCCAAUCAGGGAGCUCUCCCACAAGAGAGAGACGGGAAGAGAGCUCCACCAGCCUCACUGCCAAAGUGUAGUCAUUGCUCCUCAUGGAACCCUGCAGACCAAGAGCAGAUGAUGGCUCUGAGAGAUGCACAUUUCAAAACUGAAGCCGUAAAGCACAUUUUCCCCCUCAGCUUGCAAUUGCCCCUUAAUUGGACCAUGAAUAGCAAUUACACUAUAAAGCCAACAGGAAUCUGUGGAUAAUUAGAGUGUGUCUUGGGCAGUGGGUCUUAAUGGAGGAACCUGACUAAUCAUUGAGCGACUUUCACCCUCCACCAAGUGAUAAAAUUGUCAUGAAAUGCCUAUCAAUCACUCAGAGAGAUUGCAAGUGUGAUUUUAAUUCCUGAUAGAGUAGGACUAAGAAGUCUAGAAAAUUGCAUCCUGCCCAUAAAGCUCUGUCUGUCCUUGAAGAAGUGGGAGAAGUAGAAACAAAGGUGUUUCCAUGGUUUGGGAAUUCAGUGUCCUGUCUGUAGCCACUUUAUACACAUAGCUUAUCUUGAUCCUCAGCAUAGCUUUGUGUGGAGAAUAUUUUCAAGUCUCUUGCAAAAUUAAAAGCACUGAGACUCAGACUAACUUACCCAAAUUCAUAUGGCUAAUUAAUCACAGAUCCAGAGUUUAUAUCUAGAUUUUUGUUUCGAUUUUUUUUUUUUGAAGCAUUGGGAAUGGAACACUGAAUCUCAUGCAUGUCGAACGGAGUGUUCUACUACUGAGCACAUCCCCACCCACUCUUCUACGUGUUUUAAUAUCCAAAUUCUAUGAGCUUUUGAUUCUACUAUAAUUACUCAAUAUUUAUUGAGCCCCAACUACAGGCCAGCAGCUUUCCAUAUAUCUGUUUUUUCUUCCAACAGUUAUGAAAAAUAGGCUUUAAAAAAUUUCAUUUUAAAUGAAAAUAAAAUUUGGACAGGGAUGGUUGUUCUUACAAUAGACUAUCACUCUUUCACCUUUCUUAUUACAACACAUACACACACACACAAACACCACACAAACAUAUACAUACACAUUUUUUCUAUCCCUCUCUAUAUUUCCAGUAGCUGAAACCACAUGUCUGUGUUUUCUCAAAGGCAGGUCAUGAGACAAUGAUGAGUGAGUUGUUCUAAGAAACUACCACCAGGAACAAGGCACGGUGGUGCUCUCCUGUAAUCCCAGCAGCUUGGGAGGCUGCAACCGGAGGAUUGUGAGUUCAAAGUCAGCCUCAGCAACUUAGCAAGGCCCUAAGAGAGACCCUGGCUCUAAACAAAAAAUGAAAAGGUCUGGGGAUGUGGCUCAGUGGAAAACACCCCUGGGCUCAACCCCUAGUACCAAAAAUAAAAAUAAAAAAGUACUACCAGGGAAAUGGAGAAAUGACCUGAGAAAGGUAAGUUAGUCAAAAAAGGAUUAGUUAGCAAACCAGCUAUUAAAGUCAGAGCCAGGACCUAUCUAGAACAACAGAGAAAUUGAAAAACAUUGACACAUAUCAUUAUUCCCUAUCUGCUACAGUUUGGAUCUGAAACACCACCAAAACCAAUGUGCUAAAGAUCAGGUCCUCAGCUUAGGAAGACAAUGGAAACCUUUAGAAAGAGGGUGGAGCCUAGUUGGAAGCAUUAUGUCACUGGGGGUGUGGCCUCAAAGGGGUAGUGGGAUGUCUAUCUCUUCUUUUUCCCUUCACUUCCUGGCUGCCAUGAGAUGAGAAGUUCAGCUCUACACACUCCUUGCCAUGAUUUGUUUCCUCACCAUAAGCCCAAAACUAAUGGGGCCAAUCUAUUAUGAAUUAAAACCUAAAUAAACCUUUCCUUUUUAUGAGUUGAUUACAUCAGGUAUUUUGCUACAGUAAUGGAAAGUUGACCAAGAUCACUGAGGGGAAACAACCUCGGUAUUCAUCUACCAACUGUAUUAGUCAAGGUUGAGAGAUCUUGGAGAUGAGUGAGUAAAUGUUCUAAUGUGUUCAGCUUGCAGCAAAAAAAUAACAAAAUUUGUUCCAUAGCAAGAAAAGACCUCAGGCAUAGGAAUUCAGGCACUGACAGGUGGUAAGCAUAGGGGGCAGGGCACCAAUCCAAUAUCAAAGCAAAGAACUGGCUUUCUAUGAGCCAAAGAGUAAAAGGGAAGCAGCAGAAAGCACAGCUUUGGAAUCAGACAGACAUGGCAAGUUAUGCUUGCUUUGUGGUUUAUUGGUUCUGAUUGGCUAGAACCCGCUUGCUUACCCUUCUAUAUUCGGCAUAGAUCAACUUGCAUGUGAGCCAGGAGGACUGAAAAACUCACAUCGCAGGAGGGAUUAGAAGACUCCAGGAAGCAAUGCCUGUCAGAUCUCAACACUGUACUUACCCAGCAGGCAGUUGCUGCUCCAGAUAGACUAGUUCACCUGCCUCCCGAAAACUCCCCUAAAACCCAAUAUUGAGAGGUGAUUUCUGCUCUAGUCAAAGUAUCAGAUCACUGUUCAUAUAUUCCCUUUAUAUCAGUAAGGUGUAAAGUUGUGGGUUUAUGGAUUUCCUUGAAAAUUGAUUGAAAUCUAUUCACUUCUAUUCCAGAAAUACACACAAGAUGCUUCUUACAGUAACAGGAAAGGUAUUUCUAUGAUUAUCUGGGGAAAAUAAUAAGUAGGCGGUAAGCAGAAGUAUGUCUAGUGAAUAUGCUGUAUUUUGUCUGCUGUGAGUAUUCCUCAGAGUCCUAAUCCUGGUGAUGUAAGCCCAUAUGUACCCUUAGAAGAAAAUCAUCUGAAUGGCAUCUGUGAGUGACUGAGGGCUCUAUAGGAUCCCUUUUCUGUUUCAUGGUCCCCAGCAUCAUCAGGACCACAUGUCUCAACAGGGACAAACACAUUUUGUGAAUCAUUUGCUCUGUUCAGCUUUGGGCCAUUGGUUUUCCUUCAUGUCAGCAUCCUUCCAGAAAAUGAUUUAGGUCAAGCUCAAGGAUAAAUGCUGACUGGUUUAUUCUCAGCUAUCAAGUAUAAGAAGUGAUAUAAAAAAGAAAGAAAGAAAGAAAAUAGAAGCCAAAUUUGUAGUUAUUUAAUGGUAUGGUCUGAAUAUCUUUUCUGUAUCCCUCCAAAAUUCAUAAGUUAAAUCUUUACCCCCAAAUUGAUGGUAUUAGAAGGUAAACUUUUUUGAGUGUUGCUGUGGGCUGAAUGUGUACCCCCAAGAUUUGUGUAUUGAAACUUAAUCCCCAUUGGGUUAUAUUGAGAAGUGGGGCCCUUAGGAGGUGAUUAGGCUAUUAGAGGUCAGCUCUGGUGAAUUGGUUAGUGACUUAUAAAAGGGCUCGAGGGGACAAAUUUGCCUCUUCUGCUCUUCUACCACACAACAUUCAUCCUGCCUUGUCCCUCCAUCCCCUUCCCCUCAUGUAAAGAUGUCUCCAUGAGAAGGUGCCCUCAGUGGAGUAGAACCUCACCAGAUACUGAACUUGCCAGUGCUCUGAUCUGGGACUUUUCAGCAACCAGAAUUGUGAGGAAUAAAUUUCUCUUCAUUAUAAAUUAGGUGAUUGAUCAUGGGGCAGAACUUCCAUGAAUGGGGCUAGUACCCUUACAAAAGGGUCUCAAGAGAAACCCCUCACCAUUUCCCCUAUGUGAAGACACAGUCAAGAAGCUUCUGUUUCUGAGCCAGAAACAGGCUCACCUCAAACACCAAAUGUGCCUUGAUUUUGGACACCACACCCUCCAGAAUUAUAAGAAAUAAAUUUCUAUUGCUUAGAAAUCUACGGAGUUUAUGGUAUUUUGUGGUAACAACCCAAAUAGCUAAGACACUUAACCUGGCAUCGAGGUGUUCAGUCUUUCAUGAAAAAGAAACCACCACCCUGCUGACAUCUUGGAUGUAAGUCUUCCGAUUGUUCUUUGCGGAACAGAAAAACUCUGCAUGAGUAUAUUUAUCUACUGUUUUAUAAUCAAAUUCCUACGUGUUGCUUGCUGACGUUUGUCUUAUCUAAGAAGCAGCAUAGGUCAGAACUCGAGAGUACGGGGACCCAUCACUUACUUGACAUUGCCCUGUGUCCCCAUUUUCUCCUCCCUUUAUUCCUUCUUUCAAUAUUUUAGGACACGGAGACCUGCUCGGUAUCUUCAGAAGAGGAGCAGCCCUACUAUUUCUAGUUUGUGCCAAGAGGGCUGUCCCAAGUAACAAUUGACUUUGUUCCACUUGGAUUCUGAGUGGCCAAAGAGGGACCACUUAACCACAAGUUUACUGCAGAGCAGUCCCCUGCCGGGCUCCUUUUCCAUGGAAGAGGAAUCUGCUACCAUCUGUAUGUGACAAGAGCAAGCAGCUUGGGGCCUGUUUAAGUCACUGUAUGAGGAUUGAUUUUGCCUUCAGAGAUUAAAAUAGACACAUUUUAUGUCUUUUCCACAACUUCCCUCUUUCUUUCUUACCUUCAUUUGUCCUCAAUAAAGUAUAUAGUUAUCAAUAGGCCUCUCAAAUGUCACACAACAAGGAAACACUCUAGAAGCACAAGAGUGGCAGAAAAAUAGCAAAAGCUCCACUCCCUGCUCUCACUCCCUGCUCUCCCUGCUGCCUCCCUAGAGAUCAGCAUGUCUUCAAGCCAUGAGAACCUAAGCCUGGGACCCAGGGAGAUUUGGGUCAGGAAGCUGAGCCUCAGUUAACUGGCUGUGUGACCCGGACAAGUCCCUCUCGCUCUCCUUACCUCUUGACAGUCUCAUUGCUUCGCCAUAUGGUCCUGCAUGACACAGAAUGCCUCCAGUUUCUAAGAAUCUGUGAGUAUAAAAUUCUUUUAUGAAAACCACUUCCAUGUUUAUUGUCUAUGCAUCUGAAAAUGUCUUUUUUACAUAAGAAAUGGUUCAUGUUCAUAAUGGAAGAGCUUUCUCAGGCUGCUUCAUGUCCAAAGAAGAUUGGGUGUAUAGGGGCCUCCUAAUUUUCCAUUAGCUGAGAUUCAGUCAGGGAUGAAAAUCUACUACUACUAACAUGGAAUAAGAAACUUGCUAUGGAAGUUAAACCUUCCACAUCUGUGAGGUCUAGAAGGUAAGUAAAAAUCUAGGAGAAGUUGGAUGAUCAGUGGAGAGUCGCAAACUAGGUGUCAUGGAGAUAUGGAGCAGGUGUACAAGUUGAAGAGUGCUGGAAAAGCACCAAAGUAAACUGGGAAGAUAAUCUAGGGCAAAUACUAUGGAACACUAUAGUCUUCUGCACAGGUGUUGCCCUUGAGGGACUGCAGAAAAGAGUCUGAUGGUGGUGAAGACCAUGAUUGAAUAGCAUUUGGAGAAGGAGCUGGAUACAGAGCACUGGAGCUAAAGACCAGUUGGAACUUCCAGCUUACUUGGACCAGACAGGCUACAUUCAGCAGAGCCCCAGUAGAACACUGUCCCAGGUCAUGGCCAGAGACAGCAUCUUGCAGCAUUGGAGGGAUUGGAGAUGCUUUGCCUGAUGAUUGCUCACAGAGGGAGCAAGGUGAUGCCUAAGCAGAUUGGCUUGUGAUUCAAACCAGAGGAGUGGGACCAGCCGAAGGCAGUGGGUUGGAACCUGCUGAUUGUGAUGUUGGGGUCAGAAAGUUAGGUGGAAAUGACCUCCAGCUUGUCACUUAACUGUUUUCAAUUUGUUCCUUUACUUCUCUUCAAAACCCUGACUCCGAAUGUUUUGAAAGUUACACCCCAUAAAUAAUACCUGAGAAGUAUUUGGUCCCUGCCUGGUUGACAGGAAACGGUUAAUGCCUGAGGGCUCUCUCUUCUCCCAUUUAUGUCCUUGUCAUGUUCAGAUGCAGGUUCUGCAAGGGAGUGCACUCUGGCCUGAAGGAUUUGAAAGAUUAGCAAAAUGAGCCGCGACUACAGCAGAUCCCAGACUCUGUCCAGGUGAGGGAUGCACCUCACCCGAGGUGCUGCUGCCCGCAGGCAUGGAGGAAGCAGAAUGAAGGAUGUGUCAUCUCCCUCCCCAGCACUGGCGGAGGGUGAGGUCAGAGAGGCAGAAAAUCACACUCACCAGGAGCCGUUCUUCAUUUUCUGCAAUGAAAUUUGGGAGGAUCAUCUUCAAUCAGUGUCAUUCCCUAGAAGAAAAGCAGCCACUUUUAUGUGUUCAUUCUGAUUUUCCACAAAGGGAAACCUUGAUGAGGCUGUCCUUUGCAUCCGUCCUCCCCACCUGAAGCACCUGUCACCUCCUCCCAGCAUGCUCCAAGUGCAGCUGUGGAUGAGGGGAAGCUGCUCUGUGUCAACCCUGUUUCUACCUGGUUUCUUGAAGGUGCUUUUUAAAAUUUCUCUCCGGCACCCUUUCCCAUCCACUGAAGCUCCUUAAGGUUUUGUGUCUGCCUCCUGCAACACAGCUGCCAUCUAAGGGACUUGAUAACACCCCUACCCCACCAUUCACCAUGGCUGGCCUGAUUCCUGAGCCCUGCCACUAUCAAAAUACCUAAUACUUCCCUCAUUUACGUUUUCCCUCACUUUCAGAGCAGGAGAAAUUCUCUUUCUAGCCAUAAGCUUAUACUCCUGUGUAUGAUUCCAAAGUGCCAUUUUGCUAAAUUGCCUUAUAUUCCUUGACCUGAGACCCAUCACUGUGACUCACAUCUUUAGAUGACUAUAGUAGUCCAUAGGUGAACUCAAGCUUAAUCUAUGACGUCAUUCACUCACAUGGCCCUUUUACACACUUUCUACUGCUGUGGUCCUGAUGUAAGCCAUUCUCACAGGUCAGCUGCAAUGUCAUAACUGCUCACCUGGACUGCCUGCUCCUGGUACCUUCCCUGUUUCCCUCCCAAGUUGCUCGAAUCCUUCUGGCUGCUCUCCCCAUCUCUGGGGUGGAGAGAGGCUUUGGCCGUUUAUCUCCUGCCCCAUCCUGCCCUGCCCACUCUCCAACCUCACCUCCUACCCCUUCCCUCCUACCCACCCCACUGAGUGAUUACGCCUCACUGUCCUUGAACAGGGCAGGUGUACCACUACUUCAGAGGAAUGCUUAUCUCCCAGAAAUCCACACAGAUUUUCCCCCUCAAACACCACCCUUUUAUUGAGGUCUUCAGUAAAUAUCUUACUGUAAAUUACAGUCCUUAUCUUCCGCCCUCUGGCAUCAAACAUUCUUAUUCGGCUUCCUUGCUUUAUUGUUUUCUUCACAGUACUUACCAUUUUCUAGCAUACUGUACAUUUUACUUAACAUUUUUUUUGUCUGUCUCCUCCCAAGUGAUUUUAAGGUCCAAGAGAAUGGGGGUUCUUAUUUUAUAUCCCAGAACCUAGAGCACUUCCUGGCACAUAGUAAGGACUCAAUAAAUGCAUAUUGAAUAAAUAGACUCUAAUUGCUGCCAUGAUAGGCCUGCUCAUCUCUCCAUCUAUUUCUUCAGCUUUAUUCCUCAUUGCAAGGCACGUCAUGGUCUUGUGGCUGGCCCUAUAGGCUGCAUACAGCAGGGAGAAGAUAAGGAAAGGGCAUGACCCCUCUCCUUAGGAAACAAAUCUACCCAGACGUUUCCCCAGUCAUUAUUUAUGUCCUGCCUUUAACUAGAUUUUUCGUGACCAUGUGUCACUGACUUUAAGGGGCUCUAUGAAGAGCAGAUGACCUUGCGCACACCUGUUCCCCAUUCAAGGUCCAUGUUCUAUUUGCUGACAGUCGGCUAUCAUGGAGAUGAAGGAUGGCACUGUUAUUAUUACAAGUUGUCAAGAAACCUCAUUGGCUUGAUCAAUCCAGGCAAUCUUUAUUUAGAGGGAAGAGAAAAAUCAGUCAAAUCAGUUAUUUGACAAGGUGUCAAAUACACAAUCACUUGUUUGACUGAAAUGAAAUUUGAUGUCAGGUGGGUUGGUUGUGUUUAGAUACUUGCCUUCCUUCUGAGACUAUGAAGAGUACACAUACUCAGUUUUGAACCCUUAGAGAAGGAGCCCAUACUUGCUUCAAAGCCCAUACUGGUCUGAAAAACUAGAACUACUCUUUGUGGAUGGACUUGUGGAGAAUAUUCCUAACUACUUCCUAUGCCAGUAUAUUUGAGCUUCAGUAGUUAUCCUCUGAGAGAUUGCAGCUUCCUUGGAGUGGGGAACUAGUAUUUGCAGAGUGGCUGAAUGCAAUAGCAUUUUACAUGCACGCUGUUACUUAUUUCUCAGAACAACCUCAUAAAGUAGGUUUUAGUAUCACAUUUUAUUGUUAAGAACAUGAGGAUGUAGACAGGUUCAGCAAUUCUCCAAAGUCACUUGAUGUGCAGUGACAGAGCUGAGAUUCGAACAAAGUUCUGUUUGAUUGAAUUUCAAAUUCCUUUAGUGAAUCACUCUGUAUCCCUAGUCCUCAUUCUUCAUCCUCCAGGCUACUUCUGUAGGAAGUUGGGUAAGAGCUGUGUUUAAUAUAGUCAAAAGUUGAGAAGGAAAAACAGAUUCCAAACCCUCUUCCUUUGGUUGGUGUGAUCCUUGGAGUGCAUUUGUUCUCCUGUUGUGCACACAAGAAUUGGGGUACAGGCAGUCAUUAGUUAAUAUCCAAUGUCAACCAUUACUUAUAUAAUUCUAUGUUAAGAUUUAUCCAGUUGCUAGAGAGAAAAAUCCCUUUUAUUGAGGUCUUCAGUAAAUAUCUUACUGUAAAUUAUAGUCCUUAUCUUUUGUCCUCUGGCAUCAAACAGUCACAUCAUUCAUCAAACAAAUGAUCCAAAGGAAAUCCAUUAUUAGCUCUCAAAAAAAUCUUAUGGCUUGAACCCACUUUAGCAAUGGUAGAAUAGAGAUACUUAAACUACAGUGCUAAAACUAUGUCCCCCUUUAUCUCCUGUCUCUAUUUUCUUUAAUGUUAGCCUUUUGUCAAUAGUUAUCCCUUUGAGGUGGCAAGAUUAUCACAAUUAUACUUAGCUUACUUGAGCAAUCCCAGAAGAAAGAGAUCAUUUCAUUCCAAUAUUUCCAGAAAAAUCCAGGAACUCAGUUUCACUAUUGACUUGAGCUAUGUGCCUAGCCCUAAACUCAAAUGAUAGCCAAGACAAUAGAGCUAACUAACCAAGCAGAGAUCACAGAUUGGGGUGGGUCAAAUUCAAACUUCAUGUACUAAGGUCCGGGGAUUUGGCUUGUGGUAGAGUGCUUACGUGGUAGGCACAAGGCCCUGUGUUCAAACUUUAGUACCACAAAGCAACCAUCACCAAACCAAAUACAAAACAAAAUGCUUGUGCUAAAAUUUAGAGAAAGGGAUCUCCAAAAGCAAAUCAGGGUAUUAUGGCCAGAAGAAUGGUAAAUGGAUGCUGGAUAGGAGGAAAAUUAAAAACAUUCACUAAACCAGCUGUGUUUACAGCAUGUCCUCUAUGUGUAUCAAUUUCCUUAUCUGUAAAACAAUCAUGUCAAGUGUCUCACAACAUGUUUUAAGGAUCGGAUGAGAUAAUGUUUGAAAUUGCAGGUCACAAUGCUUGGUGCUUUGUAAAUGCUUCAAAUAGUAUAUUAUUACUUUAUAUUAUAACGCCCCAGCCCCUGUGACUCCUACACAUUCCUACAUGCAACAGGAUUGCCUUGUUCUCCUCCUGCCUCUGGUUCCUUGUUUAAAUAGCUCAGAAUUUCUCAGACAAUUGUUGGAAUUUUUGAUGGCCAGAAGGUCCGUGGGAAGCUGGAACUUUCAAAAAGGCUGCUACAAAAGCUGUUGGCAUCCCUCGUUUUAUUCAACGGGGGGUGUGCAUUAUGAUUUGUACAGACACAGUGUGAAGCAGAGGUACACAUCUCAUUAUCCUAUUAAUUCUCUAACAUGUUGCUAUUUGGCCAUAGUCUCCUUUCCCCAAAGACAGGGAGGGAGAAGGAGACAAAAACAGUGACACAAAUAACAGAUUGUGCUUUGAUACACAUGAAAGAUCCGGGGGUGUGUGGCAGGGGAAUAACGUCAUCUGUAGCAAAUACUUAUUUCUUAAAACCUGGUCCCUCUAGCAAUUAACUGAUUGGGGAAUAUCUUUGAGGGGAAGUCAUAUUAAAUAAACUGAGGAGAUAAGCUUCUAGGGGCAGCUUUCUCUUCCCUUUCUUCAAAGUCUGUUCUGUAAAUAUUUCAGGAUAAGUACUGAAAGCUGACUUUGCCUCUCUGGUGGCAGAUAGCAUUGUUUUAGGAAAUGAAGUUUAUAGGCAAAAAUCUCCAAAAUGCUUUAAAAAAACAAAUUAUUUUUCAUUGAUGGAAAAUAAAAAUGGCAUAAGAAACAAAGGAUCACAAGGGAGCAGGUGACCAUGACAUGAACAAUCUAAUCUUUACCUUUUGUUUCUGAUACAUUCUUCAUCUGAAUGUAAAUUUUUUUUUCCCAUUUCAGAUAAAGAAGGUGUGCGGUGAUCCAUGCUUUUGUUGAACCAGCAUUUGUUCUAGAGUCUUCAGAUGUAUCUAUAAAUAAAAUGUACAUAGUCCUACUUUUAAGAUUUUGUUAUACUUUGGGUUAGAAUGUCCCCCAAUGGUUGGUGUGUUGGUGUGUUCAUCCCCAAUGCAGUGAUGUUCAGAGGAAACCCAAACCAAGACAGCAGUAAAGGAGAACCUCUUUUGAUAUGAUACAUAUGCUGGGAAAUGAGUGAUAAGAAAUAACCAGACCUGUAAACCUCUGAUGGAACAAGCUCCACAUGCUGAAAGAACCAAGAGAUCAUGGGUGCUGAGCAUUAAAAAAGAAGGAGAGUUUAGGAAGAGGUAUGUCUGAGACUUUAAGGUCUAAACCUAGAUCUCAUAGGAUAGGAGCCCUGUCUCAGGGAUUUUAGUCAAAGUAUAAUGGGAAACAGGAAGUUUUUGGAAGUUGAGAAUUCUGACUUGUAUUUUAAAAGAAUACCUCCAGAGAUCAGAUAAUCCUGAGGUCAAAGUAGAAGCAGGGAGACCUGUUAUGAUACUUUGUAAGCAGGGACCUUGAUUUGGACAAGUAACAUCUAUUUUAUCUGUUAUAUGCUAGGCAAUUUACAUAUAUUCCUGAAUUCUACUAGCAGCUCUGUUAGGUGAAUGCCAUUUUAGAGGUGAGGAAACUGAGUUUUAGUUUUCUUAAGUGGCUAAUGUGAAAUUACACAGCUGUAGGUGGUAUAUCUAGGAUUUAAACCAGACUAUCUGCCUCUGAAAUCUGUGGGGUUUUUUUCCUUUUAAAUUAUGCUACCCUUUCUUGUCCAAUUUCCUUGUAUUUAUUUUCUCUAAAAAUAGUUAAAUUAUUUUUGGCUUGCCUAGUUGGGGUUAUCAGUCUUUGAAACAUUUCCUAUUUCCCUGUUGAAGCAUCAAUCUGUUGGGUCCCUCAGUCUGUUAGGGCCCCUGAAACACUGGUUGCCAUUAUCCAAAUACAUCUGUUUAUAAUUAUAAGAUGCCCUUACACUUCCCCUUUUUGUCAACAUAAUUACUCUCACUCAUGAACACUGCCCUGACCAGCCCAGGGACCCACUCCCCUGCCAACUGCAAUAGCUGAUUUCCAAAGCCCCUGCCACUCCAGUCCAAACAUAUGGACCCCCUUCUCAGCUCCAAGAACUAGAAGGUUUGGAUCCAAAAACAAUGUAAAUGGAAGUUACUUCUGUCUUUAUCUCUGUCACCCUGGCAAUGCAAGAAAUGGUUAAGUUACCUAGGGCCAUGUUUGGAAUUGUAACAAAAUCAAUGACUUUGUCAUCCAGAGGGAAAUUUUUAAUUAAUAUUUAAAUCAGAAGUGAUCCUCUUGCCAUAGACAGCCAUGGCAAUCCAAACCUUUUCCUCCCAACAUGAAGCAGAUAGAAGAAUUAGAAGCCAAGUCUUUUUCCAAGAAUUGGGUUAGAAUCAGGGAAGAAAAUGGGAGUGAAUCUUUACCACAAGCAUAUCAGAUAGAGCACUCAUCUCUAGGAAAAAAAAAAAAACCUUAACACCAAAGAAACAAAUAACCCAAUCAAUAAAUGGGCCAGGGAACUGAACAGAUACUUCUCAGAAGAUAUAUACAAUCAAACAAUAAACACAUGAAAAAAUGUUCAACAUCUCUCUUAAUUAGAGAAAUUCAAAUCAAAACUACUAUAAGAUUACUCCAGUCAGAAUGGCAGCUAUUAGGAAUACAAACAACAAUAUGUGUCGGAGAGAAUGUGGGGGAAAAGGUAUACUCAUACAUUGCUGGUGGGACUGCAAAUUGGUGCAGCCAAUCUGGAAAGCAGUAUGAAGAUUCCUUGGAAAACCUGGAAUGGAACCACCAUUUGACCCAGCUAUCCCAUUCCUCAGUUUAUACCCAAAGGACUUAAAAACAGCAUACUACAGGGACACAGCCACAUCAAUGUUUAUAGUAGCACAAUUCACAGUAGCUAAAUUAUGGAAACAACCUAGAUGCCCUUCAGUAGAUGAAUGGAUAGGGAAACUUUUGUAUAUAUAUAUACAAUAGAACAUUACUCAGUAUUAAAAGAGAAUAAAAUCAUG